rnacentral:rRNA from 1 species
UACGAAGGGGGGCUAGCGUUGUUCGGAAUCACUGGGCGUAAAGAGCUCGUAGGCGGUCUGUUGCGUCCGCUGUGAAAACUCAGGGCUUAACCCUGAGCUUGCAGUGGGUACGGGCAGACUAGAGUGCGGUAGGGGAGACUGGAAUUCCUGGUGUAGCGGUGAAAUGCGCAGAUAUCAGGAGGAACACCGGUGGGCGAAGGCGGCGACCUGGGUUGACACUGACGC